GCUCUGAUCCAGUCGUUGAGCCAGGAGCUGAAAAUGCCAUCGCAUUAAUGACGCCUCCAGGGUUUUGGUCCCCUGCAUCUCAGUGCAGCAUGUUUGUUAAACACUGGGUGGCCGCGUCCUCCCAGCUGUCCCAGUGUCAUUUCCACGCUGCUUCACUGUGUCACAGCCUCACAACCGUUUUAAUUACUUUGCUCUAAAGAGCCCAGAGAAUGACGGCGCUUUUACAGCCUCGGCUGUGGAAACCUGCUGCAGAGGUGGGAUCUUAGAAAGCAGAGCUGAAAAUAAGAAGGACAACCACUAACUUAUUUUAUGGAGACUGAGCAACAUGAGCCUGUGCACAACUGUGAAGAAAAUGAGGCAAAGUUUUCAACAUUUUUAAAACUCUAGAGUGUUUUGUGUUUGUAUUCAACCCAUUUUACUCUGACACCCCAAAGCUCAAAUUAUCCCUGAACUUUGACCUCAACUCCAAAACAGCACCACAGAACCAAACAGCAGAGAGGGAAGGAAAAAGUUCAAAACAUUUUCCAUCGAUCAUAAUGAACAAACAUCACAUCCCAACUCCAACGUCCGACUGAGAUAUAAAGAGAAGCAGCAAAAGCAAAUGAGGUGGAUUAGCAGAGCUAGCUAACAACUGAUGAUGUCAUCCAGGACAUGUUGCUGUGGAACAUCAUCUCUUAGUCCAGAUCUGAAGCUGUUAGCAUUACAUACAGCAACAGUCUUCAGUCAGAGGGCUCCUCAGAUAUGCUGCCACACUGACUGCUACUGGAGUUCAUUACUGACCUCAAUGACUGGAUGAUGUGACGUAUUCAGCUUCCUUCCUAAAACCCUGAAGACCUGCAGCUGGAACAUUUGGCAGCUACAGAGCCUGAGACACCAACACAGCAGCUCUUCCACCUGCUUAUGUGUGGAAAUAAGAACCGAGUUUCACUUCCGUUUUCAUGUCGAAGAUCUGUUUUGUGUUCAUCUGUCUCAUGAAAUCCCAGUGAAACUCACUGAGGUUCCGCUGUGACGUACCAAAUGUUAAAAAGUUCAAAGGGUAAAAACUAUCUGAGCAGUUUAUGUAAAUCCUCCACAUUUCUGGAGUUAAUUUGAAGAAAAUGUGUGGAAUAAAAAUCCCCAGCAGCCUCUGCCCCC